AGGCAUGGUGGACAGAUCUCAGGAAAUUUACAAUCAUGGCUGAAGGUAAAGGAGAAGCAAAGCAUGUCUUACAUGUCAGCAGGAGAGACAGCGAGAGGGGAAUUGACAAACACUUU